AGGAUUACCCAAUGCCAUGGCCAGUUUUACCUAGUCUAGCGAUCAUUUACCGUCUGCAAGUGUCGCAUCUAAGGCCGUGUUUAUCCGAGCUAUGAGUCAUGCAUCACCCCACGUCGUAAGCUGAACAUAAAUAGAUCGCGCAUCAUUGCUAAUUCCGGGUACUUUCCAUGUUGGAAUGGAAUAAACGUUACAUCCGUGUUAGUUUUUCAUUUACAAGAAUCUCGGGUCACCGAUGGUUAACCGUGCUAUUAAAUCGUUUGUGGUGGCGAUAUGGAAUUACGAGCAUUAGCAAUACGUACGAGGCUGUGGACGCAUGAUCCGAUUUGCAGCACUGCGUGUAUAUUAUAGACACUGUCACACUGACCUCUACCUUAUAUAUAGACUACUGAGUGCGAUCUCAUACGCCAGAUAAUUGUUUUGGUGAUGCUGAAACUGACACAUUAACUCUUACCUAGUUAUUAGUAAUACGUGCUGAGGCUGUUGACAUGCACAUGAUCCGAUUUGCAGCACAUGUGUUUGAUAGACUACUGUAGUGCGGUCUCAUAAUCCAGAUGUAAUAUUGGUGAUGCUGAAACUGAAUUGUUAGCCAUAGGACUAAACCCGACUUACAUUAUUUACUACAAAGGGGCGGGAAGCGGCGAAUGGUGUACUGAUUUUACACCUCGAUCGCGUACACAGUCCGUAGAAGGAGAUGGCAGCAACUAGUACAACGACUCCCGUCGUAGCACAAACGACCAUGUACAAUGCAAAUCCCCAAGAUAGGCCAUGUUUGGAGCGCUUCUAUCAAUGUUCGCGUUGCUUGUUUAUCAUUUCCUUCUUUAUCGUAUUUGUCGGAGUUGUAAAUAUAUUAAUGGGAUAUUUUACAGGAGGAAAUCUGUCAGACAGUUUCUAUGACAGCUUCCCGGAAGCGAGAAGGUCCGGUAUGCGUCAGAUGUACGCAGGAAUAGCAGUUUUGGUUAUUGGAAUCAUCGUACUGAUCCUUAGCAUCGCCUCGUGUUGCAAUGCACCGCGUCACUCAUCAAACAUGCCAACGACAUUCUCUGAAACGGCCAUGACAACAACAGUCGUUGCCCCAAAUGCCGCAUCUACACCAGGGUUAGUACAACCUCCUAUUAUCCAGCGAGGCGGAGGAGGAGGAGGCGGUCAACAGACAUUCGUGUAUUCAUAUCAACCUCAGCAACAAGCGGGGUCCUUUCAACCGGUCCAAAGCAGUACGAACUAGUACCCAUCGGCUCAACAUGUUCACAGCAAGUACCUACCGGCUCAACCUGCUGUCAACCAGUACCCACCAGCCCAACCAACCCUACAACCAUCAGCUCCUGUGGAAAGACUACCAGAUCAACCGCCGCCUUCAUAUAACGAGUUAACGAUUCCCGAAAGUGACGCAAUUAAAUCCUAUGGAAACUUUUAAGCGAAAAAGAUUUACUUUUAGAUGGCCAAGACGGUUGUAUGAUCAGAUGUAUUCGGCAGUAUUUGUGACACCAACUAUCCAUGGAAAUUAUAUAUCGAUCGGAUACUCGUAACUCUCGUUAAAGUUAAGAGCCUUUUAAAUAUACGGUCCUUUAUCAGGGAGUGAUUAUGUCUUUUUAGGCUCUUUCAUAGCUUCUUCUUCAAUUUUAAAUGUUACAAAAAAGCGUAGUAAUUUUACCAAGUAAAAACCUUUCAUCUGAGUUGAUUAUCAAUAGGCAGGACACCCACGUUAUAUUUAUUUAUUGCCUUCCGUGUUCCUGUCAAUAUCUCUCCAUCUUCAACUCUCUCCUUUCAUGGUCUUCUAUUAUCGGGGGAAUGACGGGUCUGGUACAAUAGUAAACAAGGACCCUGCUUCAUAAAAAUUGUUAUAAAUAACCAGAGUUAUAUAAUAAUUGUUAUAAGCUACUGGCGGUUGAUUGGCUGAGAGCAAACUUUGUCAUAUAUAUGAUUUAGCAUAUGCUAUUGAUGACUAGUUGUAUGUAACUGGGCCCUGAUUCAGGCUAAAAUGUUUUACUAUUUAAACCCCAAAAAUGUGUCUGUCGUAUUUCAUAAAGUGACCGUCAAGUUGACCACUCAAAGAUAUGUUAUCUCUUGUCUAUUUUAUUCACAUGAAUGAACCUUCCAUGGUAUACCUUAAUUGACUUGCCUUUUCUCUAUCAAAUUAGUCUCGUUUACGUAAUACUAUUUUAGAUUAUGGUGUAUGUAUAUUUCAUGGAUAAUAGUUGUAUCGUAAUGUAAUUAUAUUGUAGUGUUGUAAUGAUGCGAUUCUUAUAAUGUAAAUAUAAAUAUCCUGUCGCCGUGCUACAUCCGAAAUGAUGCCUUCUAUACUCCUUAAACGAAACCAAGAGCACUAUAUUCAGUUGAUAAAACAAUGUUUUGUUGUAGGUAUAAUUGAAACUUAGAUAUUCGUUUGCAUGCAAGAUAUUAAUGGGUAUUGCAAUGUACGUUUCGAAUUUCUUAUUAUUUUACAAUCAAAAGUAAAAUAUAAAUGGGUAUUGCAUCCUCUUGUAAAGUAAUGAAAGACACUAUUUGGAAGAAAAAACAAAAGAGUAACAUAUCAAUAUUUUUUUCUUCUAUUUUUCCUCUGUCGAGGGACUUUAUUUGUUCAUAUCAUAAAAAUAACAGCUAUUUACAACAGUGUUUAUAUACAUAAUUAAUGCACUUGUAACAUAUCAUAUAUAGUACAAAACAUGAAACUAAUGUGAUAUAAUCACUAAAUGAAAUGAUGCAAACAUUUUGUUUGUUACUUCGUUUGUAUCAAAUUUCUUUUGAUUACAUUUGUUAUCGAGAUCAGUGCGAAUUUCUACCUUUAAUUCUUUUGACAAAUAUACAUCAUACUUCCAAAACAUUCUCUAAUAUAGUUUCUAUAGAUAAUGCGCUGAGAAAAGUUUUAAAUAAGAUUGAUCAGAUUCAUUUCUCUCUUCUCUAUUUCAUGAGCUAUAAGAAGAUUUUUUCGUUCAGAAAGAUUUUUAAAUUAAACAAAGUAUCGAUUAAUUUGGAUACAAUCUUCAAAGAAAAGCGAAAUCCUUCUUACAAGCCAGGUGAAGGUGGUUAGUUGUAUCCGGGAUUUUACAGACAUCACAUAGAUUAUUAUUUUCAAUCUUCCAUUUUAUUACAUAAAUUAUCUUUACUGGGUAUUAUUCUAUGAAUAAAUUAAAAAUUAAACUGCUUAAUUCUGUUGUCAUUUAUAAAUUAAAAUUUAUAAUAAAGCACCGUCUUCCAGUUAGGUUAAUCAAAAUAAGCGUUCCAAAAAUAAAUGCACGGCAGAUCCUGUUUUUUUCUAAUAUCAAA